CUCAAACAUCAACUGAUUUUAUUCUUAAUACAUUGAAAUUUCAGUUCUUUUAAAAGAAAAUCAGGACAAUGAAUCAAGCAAGCUACACUGGAUGUACAACAGGAAAAACUUUUUGUUUUGAGGUAGUCAUCAAAAAAGUUUGAAGAUGGAUUAUUGUGGUUUAACUCCUUGCCUCAUCUUGUACAUUAGGUUAGCUGAAUGCCCCUUCUCCCUUCCACUGAGAAGGCCAUCAAACCAGGAAGAAUGUGAGCUACUCAAGCUGUUAUUCCAGAUUACACAGCAUGAACAACAUGUAAUGAUUUUACACCCAUUUCAAGUACAGCUGCUGAAACACAAGGGGCAAAUUAAGCUACUACAGAGCAAAGGUAUUCAAGAGACAGAUAAACACACAGAACCUGAACUCCUACUUCAUUCCUUGCACAUGAUGGACAUGCUCAUGUGAGUUGGGUGUGCAGAGUAAAG